UACGUAGGGGGCAAGCGUUGUCCGGAAUCAUUGGGCGUAAAGAGCGUGUAGGCGGCUCGAUAAGUCUGCUGUGAAAGUCCAGGGCUCAACCCUGGAAGGCCGGUGGAAACUGUCGGGCUAGAGUCCGGAAGAGGCGAGUGGAAUUCCCGGUGUAGCGGUGAAAUGCGCAGAUAUCGGGAGGAACACCAAUGGCGAAGGCAGCUCGCUGGGACGUGACUGACGCUGAGACGCGAAAGCGUGGGGAGCAAACGGG
rnacentral:rRNA from 1 species